AUGGUGCAUUUUGCCAGGUUGGAAAAGAACAAAAUGGGAAACCCUUUUCCGUUUUUUCCUUCCAUCUUUUCUCUCCCAGUGUUUUCCCUUUCUCCCUGUCUCUGUCACAUUUCCUUUCGGGAGCUCUUUGGACUUUUUUUUUUUUUUCCUCUCUGUCUUGUAGCUUCAUAUUCAAUUUGUUCCACACAUGAUGCGAAAAAUGAUCAGGUGGAGGACAGAAAUGUAGAAACCUCAAGGUUGGGGUGUGGAGGAGGAGUGGGAAGGGGUCGUGUAAAAGGAAGAAAGGGAGGGAGGAUGGAAGGAUGGAAGGAGGAGAGGUGGGGAGGAGGACCCAUGCUGAAUUGCUAGUGGUUGGUUUGCACUUCAGAGGGAAUUUAUUCCAAGUGCUGGACUCUACAGAGGCAAUGGUUCCAAUGCUGCUUUGCCUACUAUAAACAUAUUUGCUAUAUUUCUGCAUCCCUUUGCUUGUGGGGGCAGAAUCUCAGAGAGAGAAAAGAAUGACAACUUCUGAGAGAUAAGCUUUACUCACCAUCCUUGAACAGAGCCAUCAUCCUAGCUGAGAGAAAACACACAAUCAUGCAUGUAUUUCUAAACAAGAUUUCUUAGCAUCAUAAGGGAAAUGCAGGUAAUAUCUUAGUUUGCCAGUAUUUGUGUCUAAAAGCUACCUAGUAACGUCCAUUUCCAAAGAAAUGCAAUUGCUCAGUUAAUGAAUGCCACCUGAAAACCUCACUAUGGUUUCAGGGUUGUAACGUGAUACGUCGGGACAUGAGGAUUUUGUAAUUCUUGCACUAGGCUCUCAGAAAUGAUGUAGGGUUAUCUUAGAAAACAGCCACUGACGCCGGAAAUAUAUUGUCAGUCACGUUUAUUUGAUUGACGGAAAAAGUGUAUGUGUAAGACCCUGAAGGAAGAGAAAUGUGUUGGAGUAAUUAUUAAAUGAAUUAAAAUAUAAAAGAAAGGAGAGUAAUCAUUGUUGUUUAAAAGGAAAAAUCCACAUUGUCAUGCAAAACUAUUACCAAUAUCCCUUGGGAAUAGGGUCAAGCAAAGCGGACUGGCUCGUUUCAAGAGCACGCUUGACAUCAGUGUAUACAGACAGUGUUUACACAGUCAACAAAGAAGGAACUCAUCUCAUGCAACAGCUUUGGAGUCUGAAUGCUUCCCCUAAAAGCCAGAACACGAUCAUCUGUAAAGCAAGAGGCACUCCACCUCAGAGCACUUGGAGAACCCAAGGGAAAGGAAGCCUUCUCUCGAAUGGCAAUGACCACACUCACCUUAAGCGAAUCGCCUUCAUCUCACCAACCUUAUCAUGAAAUUAGGGUAAUCACCAGGGAGGUAGAACACCACCUGGGUGUAUAGCAAGGAAGAGACUGGAAGGAAUAACAGCCAGAGAGAUGGUGAGAAGGGAACGUGAUGUGGGAGGACCUCAGGACGUCAAAGAGAAGAUAGGGUAACGUGGAACCCACAAGAAGCUAAAGGGCGGACAGGAGCAGGGAGGAGGGAAUGUUGAGAAAUGGUGGGAAAAGAUGUUUUAAAGAAAUACAUCUGUUAAAAAUGUCAAAAAGAUUUACCCAUUUCUUUCUGGACUUGAUCUGGAAAUAUAAUGGAAAACUCAUGAAAGUAUCAGGAAAACCAAUACAGAAAAUUAAAAUAAAGUUAAAACUUCCACUUCAGAGUAAAUACGUAAGAUGAAUGUAAUCAGAAAUCAAACAAAUAAAAGGUACCCUCCCCGAAACUUGCCAAGGAAAUACACUUUUAUUUUAGAAAAGAAAAAAAUUUAUGGUUUACUGAAGAAAAGAAGAGGGAUAUUUGGAUUUAAAAAAAAUAUUGCCUGCCUUUCAGUAAAAGAAAAAAAAAAAAAAAAACAAAGAAUAUGGCCUGCUUUUCCAGUAAACACAAAUGCGCCCCUAUUCAACCAUCGCCACUGCAGCACCCCAUGCUGGAGUAGCCCAGGGAAAUCUAGAUGAGAAUCAAAGACACUGGUGCUACCAGUUGUGGCAAAAUAGGUCUGUCUACCUGGAUUCCACAAACAAG
rnacentral:lncRNA from 9 species